rfam:Phaeobacter sp. CECT 7735 genome assembly, contig: 0008
GCUCGUCAGGCUCAUAACCUGAAGGUCGUAGGUUCAAAUCCUACCCCCGCAA